UCGAGCGCGAAAGUGGACUUCGGUCCACGAGUAGAGCGGCGCACGGGUGAGUAACGCGUGGGUGAUCUACCCUCGAGUGGGGAAUAACACCGGGAAACUGGUGCUAAUACCGCAUAACACCUUCGGUUCGUUCCGGAGGUCAAAGCUGGGGACCGUAAGGCCUGGCGCUUGAGGAGGAGCCCGCGUCCGAUUAGCUUGUUGGCGGGGUAAUGGCCCACCAAGGCUUCGAUCGGUAGCCGGCCUGAGAGGGCGGACGGCCACACUGGGACUGAGACACGGCCCAGACUCCUACGGGAGGCAGCAGUGGGGAAUUUUUCGCAAUGGGGGAAACCCUGACGAAGCAACGCCGCGUGGAGGAUGAAGGCCCUCGGGUCGUAAACUCCUGUCGAUCGGGAAGAAUGCGUGCGGGUUAAUACCCC
rnacentral:rRNA from 1 species